rnacentral:rRNA from 1 species
UACGGGGGGGGGCAAGCGUUGUUCGGAAUUACUGGGCGUAAAGGGCUCGUAGGCGGCCAACUAAGUCAGACGUGAAAUCCCUCGGCUUAACCGGGGAACUGCGUCCGAUACUGGAUGGCUUGAGUUCGGGAGAGGGAUGCGGAAUUCCAGGUGUAGCGGUGAAAUGCGUAGAUAUCUGGAGGAACACCGGUGGCGAAGGCGGCAUCCUGGACCGACACUGACGCUGAGGAGCGAAAGCCAGGGGAGCAAACGGG